CGUGCCUAAUACAUGCAAGUAGAACGCACAGGAUGCACCGUAGUUUACUACACCGUAUUCUGUGAGUUGCGAACGGGUGAGUAACGCGUAGGUAACCUGCCUGGUAGCGGGGGAUAACUAUUGGAAACGAUAGCUAAUACCGCAUAAGAACAUUUACUGCAUGGUAGAUGUUUAAAAGGUGCAAGAGCAUCACUACCAGAUGGACCUGCGUUGUAUUAGCUAGUUGGUGAGGUAACGGCUCACCAAGGCAACGAUACAUAGCCGACCUGAGAGGGUGAUCGGCCACACUGGGACUGAGACACGGCCCAGACUCCUACGGGAGGCAGCAGUAGGGAAUCUUCGGCAAUGGGGGGAACCCCUGACCGAGCAACGCCGCGUGAGUGAAGAAAGGUUUUCGGAUCGUAAAAGCUCUGUUGGUAA
rnacentral:rRNA from 1 species